GAGGGUAGAGCUCAGUGGUAGAGUGCAUGCCUAGUAAGCAUGAGGUCCCAGGUUCAAUCCUCAGAACCUGCU
rnacentral:tRNA from 1 species